UUUCGGUUAGGUGGAAGGUCUUCUCAGUCAGGUAUGUGGUGAUUGGAGUUGGACCAUGGAGGUGCAUAUUGAACAGUGUCUGUUUAGGCAUCCAGUGGCUGAAUAUGAAAUGUUCCUCCACCGGAAGUUAUAUACUGAAACCACAUUGUAGGUAAAUUCAAUUAAGGGGUUAUAUAUGUUAAAGUGCGUAAAUAUAAGGAAAAGUUUGUAUUUUUGUAAAAGUAUGUACAGUAUUAAAUGUGUAAAAUUACCUUAUGUACUGUAACCGUUCGCUAAACUAUUCUUGAGGGUCGAUAAAGCGCGGUGGCUUAAGCGCCACUCUCAGAGAGAGACCACCGGUCGUGUUGAAGUAUGCCCGACUAUGCUAGAGACUAUUCCUCUCAGGGAUGGUUUUCGAACGGUUCAUCGAAAAACGGCAGAAUUGCUUCGAAAAACGCAAGAUUAAGUUCUACUCUUUCGCAGGCUAACAGAACCUUAGGGAGAGCCGAAGGGAUGCUUACUCAAUCGAGCAGAAUAACGGAACGAAACGUAACUAAAGGUAGCGACUCAUUCGUGUUGGACGGAAAUUUCAAUACGGAAUGGAAAGAGCAAACAUGGCCAUGUAAAAAAGAAGCUCUUGACGUACCUGCGCAGGUUUUUUGACGACGAUCGAUGGCGGGGCGACGACGAAGCUCGACGACUCGAUGAUGGCGUCCUUCGGUUCUCGAAGAUGGCGGUACCUGGCGUGUUGGUGCUGCGUUUUGGCGCGCAGCGACGACGAGGAGACCCGUGUGCGUUAUGGCCGUAUUAUCGUUGCGGAGGGAGUGGCGGCUGGACGGAAGCUUCCGGUUUAUCUCGACGAGAGAAUGCGGCGGAUGCCGUACGAUUCCCGGGACGGUCCCUCACCAGUCGAUAGGAGAGCUACAGAGACCAGCGACCCGGCUUCGCGUACUUAGGUUCCAACUAUGACCGAGCGGGGAAUGCCACUACUCCUAUGUACCUGGAUUGUGACCGGGUUCGCGGCGUGCAAUUGACGACACGCUGCACGCGAACCAAAACUCUCGUUCCCUGGUCCACGGGGUUAGACGAAAUUGGACCUACCUUCGGUUUUUGGCGACCGAGGGGGAUUACUCGCUACGGAAAAUAGCUUAGCGACUUCACUCCACUCCGUUUGGCUACCUUUGAAGGCGGGCCUUAGCUGGGCACACGGGUCGCGUUCAACGGACGAAAGGGCGGUUCACUCCGCCAAUAACACCCCGAUUCGGCGAUGACGAUCGCCGAAAUAGCACGGAAAUC